CCUACGGGCGUCAGCAGUGAGGAAUAUUGGUCAAUGGGCGCGAGCCUGAACCAGCCAAGUCGCGUGAGGGAAGACGGUCCUAUGGAUUGUAGACCUCUUUUGUCGGGGAGCAAAAGACGCCACGCGUGGCGUUCCGAGAGUACCAGAAGCAAAAGCAUCGGUUAACUCCGUGCCAGCACCCGCGGUAAUACGGAGGAGGCGAGCGUUAUCCGGAUGUAUUGGGUUUAAAGGGUGCGCAGGCGGAAGAUCAAGCCAGCGGUAAAAUUGUGAGGCUCAACCUCUUCGAGCCGUCGAAACUGGUUUUCUUGAGUGAGCGAGAAGUAUGCGGAAUGCGUGGUGUAGCGGUGUAAUGCAUAGAUAUCACGCAGAACUCCGAUUGCGAAGGCAGCAUACCGGCGCUCAACUGACGCUCAUGCACGAAAGUGUGGGUAUCGAACAGGAUUAGAUACCCCUGUAGUC
rnacentral:rRNA from 1 species